GACGAACGCUGGCGGCGUGCUUAACACAUGCAAGUCGAACGGAAAGGCCCUGCUUUUGUGGGGUGCUCGAGUGGCGAACGGGGGAGUAACACGUGAGUAACCUGCCCUUGACUUUGGUAUAACUUCAGGAAACUGGGGCUAAUACCGUAUAGGAGCUCCUGCUGCAUGGUGGGGGUUGGAAAGUUUCGGCGGUUGGGGAUGGACGCGCGGCUUAUCAGCUUGUUGGUGGGGUAGUGGCUUACCAAGGCUUUGACGGGUAGCCGGCCUGAGAGGGUGACCGGCCACAUUGGGACUGAGAUACGGCCCAGACUCCUACGGGAGGCAGCAGUGGGGAAUAUUGCACAAUGGGCGGAAGCCUGAUGCAGCAACGCCGCGUGCGGGAUGACGGCCUUCGGGUUGUAAACCGCUUUCGCCUGUGACGAAGCGUGAGUGACGGUAAUGGGUAAAGAAGCACCGGCUAACUACGUG
rnacentral:rRNA from 1 species